AUUGAACGCUGGCGGCAUGCUUUACACAUGCAAGUCGAACGGUAACAGGCCGCAAGGUGCUGACGAGUGGCGAACGGGUGAGUAAUGCAUCGGAACGUGCCCAGUCGUGGGGGAUAACGCAGCGAAAGCUGCGCUAAUACCGCAUACGAUCUAUGGAUGAAAGCGGGGGACCGUAAGGCCUCGCGCGAUUGGAGCGGCCGAUGGCAGAUUAGGUAGUUGGUGGGGUAAAGGCUCACCAAGCCAACGAUCUGUAGCUGGUCUGAGAGGACGACCAGCCACACUGGGACUGAGACACGGCCCAGACUCCUACGGGAGGCAGCAGUGGGGAAUUUUGGACAAUGGGCGCAAGCCUGAUCCAGCAAUGCCGCGUGCAGGAAGAAGGCCUUCGGGUUGUAAACUGCUUUUGUACGGAACGAAACGGCUCUGGUUAAUACCUGGGGCUAAUGACGGUACCGUAAGAAUAAGCACCGGCUAACUACGUGCCAGCCGCCGCCAUAAUAC
rnacentral:rRNA from 1 species